rnacentral:lncRNA from 1 species
CAGGCGCAAAGAGGACAGAAGGUGUUGGUUCAAUUCAUUUGCCAGGUACUGAGCACCUAUUGGGUUUGAGGCACAGGGCCAGUGCCACCUCCAGGAGAAUAACAAUCUGGUUUGGGAGACAGGACACUCUCUUCUUAGAAAUCAUCUAAAACUCUGAGACAGCAGGAGAGAUGGUUCAGAAAUGAGGCCGUGAGCACUCAGG